CCCCCCAAGCCACAGCUUUUUGCACAUUCCCCGCAAACUGCAAUCGCCGAAGGAGGCCUCGGCCUCGAAGCCCCCCGCGGGUGGGAGAUGCCCCGACCGGGUGGCAGAUGCCCGGGCCGGGUGGCAGAUGCCCCGGAACUCAGAAGAGGUGGCUGCGACGGCGCUUGGCAGGGCAGCGAGGAAAAGUGAAUCUGAGGCCAGAAGCCCCCACCCCGACCUCAUCCAUCCCUCCAUCUGCACCUGCAAAGUCCCACAGUCUCCUCUCCUUGACUCGCGGCUGUGACAGUUCUCACCCGGGACACUGGGAGACCCGGGGCGGACGCCCCACCGUCUAGGCCACCCCAGGUCGAAAGAGGAGAGUGAGCACCCCAAAGUUAAAAUAAAUGUUUGAUUCACACUA